AGGAGUUGUGUAAAAGGGGCUGAAGUCCUGCGCUGCCUUCUCUACUGCUGCUGCGACGCUAAGAAAAGUAGACUCCCUCGCGAAGCCUCAAAAGAAGAUUUAAGGUUUUACAUCCUUAAAUACCUCAAGAUCCACGUUUUCCACGACACACCCUGGUGAAGGUCCAGGACUCCGCCGGAGCAGCGGGGCAGCCUGAACUCCGCUGGACCGUCCAGAUGGGUUGGCCGAGCAGGAGCGACCCGGCCGGUGGUCAAGGUGGGGCGUAUUUACUGGCUGCGAGGCUGUCUGUGUGUUUCUGCUGGCUAAACGCUUCUUCCUGUCAGUCUGAUUUAGCCUGUGGCGGCUUCAUGACCCAGUUUGCGUUGAGACGGCAACUGGGAAAGCAGUCCUUAACAUUAUUCAAGUAAAAUCCAUCUCUUCAGGUCUGAUUUCUGCGUUACAGCGGCAGCUUUCUGCAGACAUCUGCGUCGUCAGAUUGCGGAGGAUAUACAGUUGGGGGUUAUAGGAGUUCUGGUUUAAGGCCUGUCUAUGUGUCAUGUAUCAUAUCGUCCAGGCCCACUGACACAGAGGACCUGCUGUGAAUUAUGGGCACAUUUAGAAAUGUGACCACAACCUCCCAGCUCUUGCAAACAUUUAAUCAACAUUUAGAUGAUUGACCCAGUGAGGCUUUGUUAAUAUGCUGCAUGGAGUAUCUGCACAUGCAGGCUGAUGGCAGCUAAAGAGAUGCUUGAAAUGUGCUUAAAAAAAAGUCAGAAUUGUGUCUAAAUUAACACAAAGGAAGAGCAGAGCCAGGAAAUGCCCACAGACAUCAUGUUUUCAGUGCUUAAAGAUUCACGGAUGUCUUAUUACAUUAGCCUUAAGAUAACUCAUUCAGUCAUUUGUGAGCACGUAACAGUUAAAUGUUGUAUUAUAGGCUGAAGUGUGAAGUCUGCAUUCAGGUCGUCUAAACGUGUUAGAAAGUGUCGGCGUUCAAAGCCCCUUCAAAUUUGCUGAGUUCAUUAUAGGCCAAGGAAAAAGCCUGUGCUGAAGUAGGGGAUAGGUGAAAAUCAGGAAGAUAACUAUAGGGCCUCAGAAAUGCAGUGACACCAGCAGUCAUCUGGCAGCUCUUUCUUCAAAUGAAAGAUAAAGACAAGCAUAUUAUGUUGAGACUUAAAGCAGGUGAUGUAACAAAGUAUGUAGGCCUCCGUGUCCCCUCAACGCAUUUAUAUACACACCGUCUUUUACACGUCUAUAAAACCUUUUUUAAAAGCAAAGUGCAGUAAUGUAUAAGCAAUCUGUCUCUGAGAUAUUGGACAGGAGGGGCAAAGCUUGCUUGUAGUGUACGGUGGAGCUGGUCUUACAUAAUUAUACAGCCAGAGUUCAGUGUGCUGACAGGAAUGCGCAAUAGACUGUGUCACGAGCUGCAUUUGUGCCAUUGCAACCCGGAGUGUGACAUAAGCCACCCUUGUCAAUGAGGAUCACAUGUGCAAUGACAGGGCGUCGGUUGAAAAUGCAAAUCGUCUUCCCUACAUGUGUCAUUUGUCCUGCAUCCAGGCAAACAUUUUAUUGCUUACAUUUGCAGAAAUGUAGCCAUCUUGCUCAACUUGGGUUACACCCUUCAUUCCUAUUGCGUGCCUUGUCAAGGGUGGAUGGGAAAAGAAAGGUAUGUGUUAUGAAGGUUUAUUUAGGGGGGGAAGAAAAAAAUCCAGUUCUUUCAAACAAAAUGGCACAAACUGCCCGAGGACAGGCUUACGGGCCUCAUACCGCACGCUACCAUCUCCCAGGAUGUCGUGAGUUCAGACUGGCAUUCAGCUGUUACUCUUAGCAAGUAAAACAGCCCACACCCUUUUAUUUGUACUAAUCUCAGGGUUAAAGUCAGAUAGUCCUGCAAACAGCCAGCAGCAGAGCAUAAGAAGAGGCUCCCUGCGCUGUGAUCGGUGUGUUGCCAAAGCCACCGCCCUUUCCCCGUCUUUCUCCCAAUUCCCAUGUCUAAAAUGAUCAGUCUAUAUUGCAGACUACAAUCUGGGGCAGUGAACGCUCUCCAACCGGGCCACACCCACAGCAGAGGAAUGCACCUGGAGUAAUGUAUGUAAAACGUUUAAUCAUCACGUUUCCAUUCACACAGCCGCAGCAGCAGAAUGCAAAUCUGCAAUUCCGGCCUACCUCAUCAUGUCGCCUUAUUUAGGAUUCCCCUAAAUAUGAGUGGGCUCGAAGCAGGGACAGAGGUUUGACCCACUCUCUAUCAUAAUGGUCUUUAUUUUGUUUUUCAUCUUCAACAGAAGUGCGCUGCUUCUACCUGUUUGCAUCUCAUCUGUCUUUUGUUAUUCAUCUAUUUCCGUAAUAUUGAAGCUCCCUAGAUAAGGUCAAUAAUCCCUUAUUGUACGUGGUUCAUUCACACCCUCCUGUGUGCAAACCAUCAUAUCCAUUCCUCCCUGUUGUGGCAAAGAAUGCACGUCCCAGAUAAGCUCAGUCUUUUGUGUAUCAGACUGUGUGUUAUCUCCUUUUACACCGCUGCCCCAUGUAUAAAACCCUGUCUCAAGGCCUUCCACACUGGCUGUCAAUGGGCUCAGUCUGACUCCCCCGCUCGGACAAGGCCAGAGAAAGAAAGGGAAGGAGAGGGGGAGGUAAGGGUGAACCUGGCGGUGGAGCCACGUCUGCCUCGUCCGGUGCAGACCAGCUGUAGACGAGUUGGUAGAGGAGAGGUGGGGGAAGGAUAGCGGGAUGGAAAAAAAGGAGUGGAAGAGACUGUUUGUUAAUGUGGAUGUACUCUGAGUCCACAGCGGCCGGGUGGAAUUUUUAACAUACGCAGCUGGAAUGUCAGGAAUGCAGGACAGUCUGAUCUGACCAAGAAAGAAAGAAAGGAAGGAAGGAAGGAAGGCCCCAAAAAGAAGAAGAAGAUAUACGGGAAAGAGUAGCACAGUAAUAGUCAGAAGGCUCAACACUGCCCGUCAUUGUGAACAUAAAGAUACAGAGUCACUGUUUGUAGAAGGAGUGGCACGCUAUGGAACAAAUAACUUAUUCAGUUGGAGGCAGCCGUAGUCGGCAGUUAUGACUGUCAGUGGCCCUGUGUGUGGCCCGAGGACUUGUACUGUACGUCCUCCUCCCUAAAUUCAUUCAGACCAACACCAGCAGGGCAGGCCUGGGAGGGGGGAGGGAGGGGGGAGGGGGUGCUGAAAGUUAAUCAGUCGACCUAUAAUGUCUCAACAGCUUUUGGACGGAUUGCCACGACUUGUGGUUCACACAUUCACGUCCCCCUCAGGAGGAAUUGUAAUAACAUUGAUGAUCUUUUAACUUUUUCAUCGAGCGCCAUCAUCGGGUCAAAAACGCUUCACUGUGGUUUAUGACCGAAUCCCUACAAAACUACCGUCAUUCCCAUCAGCCUCAGGAAUAUGUGAGCCCAAAGCAGCAGAUGAAGGAAGGAGAAGGAGUCGCCAUUUGGGCCUUUUUAAAGCCGGCCGUCCGUCACUCCAGGCUGUCUGGUUCGAACUCUCACGCUCUCUGGCUGACUCCCAGAGCUCCCUCACACUUGGCCCCAAAUAGCUGACACACAGCAGUUCUUCACUGGCAAGCUUUAUGUUCCCGUACACAUGCUAAAGCUGCCAGCUGAAGAACUGCUCUGGUCAGCCCUGCCCCGGAUGACUCAAGAAGAGGAAGCGGAUGGGGGUUGCUGAGAAGAAGACUGAGGAAGGAGGUGUUUCUCACGCUCGGUCAGACCGGCCACUGUUUAUAAUCCUGUUUUAAACAAAUGUAAGGUGUAUUUUAUUUUAGGCAAUAGAGAAUGUUUUAUUUUGUGGUCUUUUUCCUCACAAACACCUGCUUACAUGUUGUCAUGAUGUUUUUGGUUUCUUACAGUAAAGAACAAAAUAUUUUCUCAGACUUUUUUGUUUUUUUGUUGUGGACAAAACUGCACACUAUGAACAAUAAAACUCAAACCAGCACUACAGGCUCUCUUGUCCAAAAAUAACAGCACACACAAAGAAGCACACAAUAGAUUUAUGCAAGAAUGUGUCACACUGAUCCCCUUUUAACUUCAAAGUCUCUCAUGAUCCCAUUAAAGGGGAGCAAGAAAGAUCAGAGUAAAUUGAGAUGUUCUUCAAAUGUAAAAGUGGCCUCAGAUAUGCAAUAACUUCUGAAAGUGGUGUUUGUUCUCACAUGAAUUAACAAGUCAGCAAGUUGACAUUCAGCCAGGACUGAAUGAAUCCACUUAUAUUAUUGCAUAAAAGAUGCGGAACCAGAGGGGGAACAUUUUUCUUCAGGGCUUUAAUGCAUCACUGGCUGCUUCAAUGGAUUCCUUCACAAACUACCAACUUUCCCAGACUGAGGAAGGACUCAUUGGAUGUGAAAUAGUCUUCAUAACUGACCAAUAUCCACUGCAAUGCUCCUUCAUUUAUUUGGCAUCAGCAGCAGGUUAAUUGAUUAACUGUAUUACUGUGUAAGAUGAAUUGGUUUAAUAAAGGAAGCAGUUUAUUUCAA